rnacentral:lncRNA from 1 species
GGAAGAUAUGCGCUUUUCGCGGAUCGAGGCUGGAUGACCUCUCGGGAUCAAUGGAGGGAGAAUCGCCAUGAAGGAAAGAUGGAAUGAAACGGUAUUGUUUAACCAAGGUAGAGGACUUAGCAAAGUGUUUAAAAGGGAUAGCCUAUUUUCAUCAUUUAGGAUGACGGUGCACUUAUGAUAUCAGGUGGAUUGUGGGAUGAUAUUGGAUCAAGCUGCAAAUGUGAAGGAUCCAAUUAAAAAUUUUCAGACUCAAGGGAGUGGGUGUGCAACUCGGCAAAAGUCAAGGGGUUCCAACUAUAAUUUUCCUAGUAUAUUUAGAAGGCUUAUCGUUCUGAUUUAAAUAAAUUAUAUAUUUAACUAGAGUUGAUCAGCAAUCAGGUGACUGCAGAAUAAUGAGGAAUGGAAACAAAUAUUUACGUGAACAGCUGACCGAAAGAAUUUUGGCUUCGUCAAUGUAUCUGAAUUAUAUGUGCCGUUGUAAGGUUUCUGAUCAUUUUCUGUAUGUUAUAAAAUAUCAAAUUAUUUAUUUUAUAUAAGCUCAAUCAAGGUUUCUUUUCGAUACUUGGGAGGCUUGAGCCUUGACAACUCAAAAAUCGAAAGAACACCCAAAGCUAUCAGCAUUUACGAGAAUAGCUCAGGAUGAGUCGCUUAUGGAAUGUGGAACAAAGGAAAUUAUUGUAUCGCUUGUGAAUAUAGAAACCCUGGAACAUCAACUUCAGCCACUCCCUCGUGGUUGACGUAAGUAUUACAGUAAGCACACCAAAUCACAAAUGGGCAUGCCAUGCAUAGGAACAAGAAUAUGCGGACGUUAGUUUUGCAUCCACACAACAGGCGAAGAGGACCAUUGGUGCAAUUCGAUGAAAUCGUUGGACUUGCAGGAGAUUUUUGCACUCCAAGAGGAAUAACAAUAAAUAGGUGAAGAGGACCAUUGCUGCACUUCGAUGAAAUCAUUGGACCUGUGGUAGACAUUUGCACCCCAAAAGAACAAUAAACCUCGAACAACGAUAUAUAACCUUGGGAUAGAUUCAUUAUGAUGAAACCCUUUCUAGUAGAUAUCUGCACGCCAGAAGAAUGAAUACCUUACACGAUGAAAUCCUUCAUAUGCUGCACUGAUAAACACCGCGCACUUUUGACAUUACUACGUCCUGAAGGCAUUAUUGAUCCAAUAGAGCCACCAAAUCGAUCAUCUAAUCCAAAGACCAACAAAAAGAAAUAAAACAAGGAUGGCGCCGACAUCCAUGACCCUUUCUCAAGUAACAACAGAAUAUUACGAGACUUCUAAUGAAUAGGCCUGCUAUGUCCUACAGUAAAACUCCCCACUCCACAGCAUAAACCAAAUGCAGUCCAGGACAAAAAUCUGAUGGAAACUCUCCUAUAAAGAAAAUUAUGAUAUCCAUCAAACCUGUUGGAAAGCCUGAGAAUCAAAAAGAGAGAGAAAUAAGGUGUGAAAUCAGCAUGCAACCACAUUACCAGGCUUCCUCAAUAUACUUCUUUUGGGUGGCAGAACAGUUGGCCACCGAGGGAACCGCGAAAAUUCAUCCUCGCAAAACUUACAGUGAUUUAUUCAAUUCCUAUAAACCAAGCAAACCAGCAUAAAUAAUUUUUUUUACCAUUACGGCACGCAUGCGUCUGAAGACAAACCACUGUUUGGCCUUUGUAUUGUCAAGCAAGAGCUAAUACAAAAUUGCACGCCACAGGAGAU